rnacentral:rRNA from 1 species
AAACUGAAGAGUUUGAUCCUGGCUCAGAUUGAACGCUAGCGGGAUGCUUUACACAUGCAAGUCGAACGGCAGCGCGAGAGAGCUUGCUCUCUUGGCGGCGAGUGGCGGACGGGUGAGUAAUAUAUCGGAACGUGCCCAGUAGCGGGGGAUAACUACUCGAAAGAGUGGCUAAUACCGCAUACGCCCUACGGGGGAAAGGGGGGGAUCGCAAGACCUCUCACUAUUGGAGCGGCCGAUAUCGGAUUAGCUAGUUGGUGGGGUAAAGGCUCACCAAGGCGACGAUCCGUAGCUGGUUUGAGAGGACGACCAGCCACACUGGGACUGAGACACGGCCCAGACUCCUACGGGAGGCAGCAGUGGGGAAUUUUGGACAAUGGGGGAAACCCUGAUCCAGCCAUCCCGCGUGUAUGAUGAAGGCCUUCGGGUUGUAAAGUACUUUUGGCAGAGAAGAAAAGGUAUCCCCUAAUACGGGAUACUGCUGACGGUAUCUGCAGAAUAAGCACCGGCUAACUACGUGCCAGCAGCCGCGGUAAUACGUAGGGUGCAAGCGUUAAUCGGAAUUACUGGGCGUAAAGCGUGUGUAGGCGGUUCGGAAAGA